rnacentral:rRNA from 1 species
GCGAACGCUGGCGGCGUGCUUAACACAUGCAAGUCGAGUGCGCAGUUUCCUGUAGCAAUACAGGGAAUGGGCGCACGGCGCACGGGUGAGUAACACGUGGGCAAUCUGCCCUCGGAUGGGGGAUAACCCCGCGAAAGCGGGGCUAAUACCGCAUGACAUUCCGGAGACCUCGGUUUCCGGAUUCAAAGCCGAACGGCGUCUGAGGAGGAGCCCGCGCCCGAUUAGCUAGUUGGUGAGGUAACGGCUCACCAAGGCUUUGAUCGGUAGCCGGUCUGAGAGGACGAUCGGCCACACUGGAACUGAGACACGGUCCAGACUCCUACGGGAGGCAGCAGUGGGGAAUAUUGCGCAAUGGGCGAAAGCCUGACGCAGCGACGCCGCGUGGGGGAUGAAGCUUCUCGGAGUGUAAACCCCUUUCGACCCGGACGAAUGACCCGCAAGGGUUUGACGGUACGGGUACAAGAAGCCCCGGCUAACUACGU